rnacentral:lncRNA from 1 species
GAGAAGAGAAGGGGCGAUAAAAUCCUGUCCGUAUCACCCUCCCUUCUCCCAGUCCCAGUCCCAGUGGAGUAGCGGCCGCUGCGCAGUACAGUACAGUGCAGUGCAGGGGGUCGCCGGCGUCUCCCGCCGUCCGCUUCGAUCACCGUUGGACGAGGAGGAGGAGGAGAAGCGCCAAGACGAGGACAGGCGGGGUGCGGCGUCAUUCGCGGAACGAUGGCGGCCUGCCGCGCCGGCGGUUAGGCCCCUCCGCUCCGCUGCUCCGAGAUUGUUGCCCUCUUGUUCCUGUGACCGAGGUAUGUGCCGUGCCGUCUCAUCCGCAGUUCCGUCCCUUUGCCUUGUCCAACGCGCUCCGCUGUUUUCCGCUUCCAGUUCGAGCUGGACUUAUUAGUCAGAUCUGCUUCCACGCACGCACCUAUAGGUGCCCAAACGGGCGGCCCGGCACGGCCCGGCACGGGCCCGUUAGGCACGACAGUUAAACGGGCCGUGCCCGGUCGGCCCGCGUGCCGCAGAUGCGGCCCAGGCACGGCACGUCGGCCUGGUAGCCGUUCCGGGCCGGCCCGUUUAAUUUGCCCACGUUGUCCAUUUAAUCAGAAAAACUGCAAAAAAACUGUGCGCACUGAGGUUUUGAACCCAGGACCUCCCUCUUCCAAGCUGAAAGCACUAUAUGUAAGGGGCUAACCAGUAGAACUCCAGCGUAUUUGCUGUAAAUAGCAAAUAUAAAAUCUAAAUAUAUAUAUACUAUAUUUUAUAAAAUAAAAAAAUAUAAUCGUGCCGGGCCGGGCCGGCACUGCGGGCCGAGACAGCGGCCCAAGCACGGCACGGCUGUCGUGUCGGGCCCGACCCGACACUAUUAAAUGGGCCGUGCUUCGGGCCGGCCCGUCAAGCACGGCCCAUUUGGCCAUCUAUACACGCACCCCCCCCCCCCCCCCCCUCCGUUUCUGCCUGCUUCCGUGCCUUCUGUUUUUUUACUCCCAAGUCCCAACGUUUGGCUGCCCGCUGAUUUCAUUUCAACCCUUCUCAACGCUCAAUUGGAGAGGACAGUUUUAUCGGGCCUUCCAAUUGCCAGCGAGUUGCCUUGUCUUACCGAAAGGACCAGCCAGCCAGCCAGCCAUAUGAAAUGCAUUCCAUUGACGGGACUGCCAGAUCUUGUUUGCAUCCCACGCAAUUGGGGACCGCUCUUUGUUCGUAGCAGCGUCUGGGUUUUGUUCCCCUGCAGUUAUUAUUAUUAUAGUACAGCGCUACUCCUCCGUUGACCGCUACAGAAUUCGCUACUGCCUAGUGCCUACUACAACCGUUUAGUAUCUCCACUUCAAAUUCCCACCAGUUUCUGCCCUUUUCUUUUCCAGUGCCCUCAUGUACAAAAUGAGUUCCAUUAGAUAUAGAUUAUGAAAAUGCUUUUUAUAUAUUAUUAUAAUUUACCGUAACUGGAAAUCCCUUGUAUUUGGACGAAGGGAGUACAUGUACCGAUUUUUUUUUAGGAAAAGAAAAUGACAGCACAACGAAUGGAUUUGGCUUCCAGCGCUUUUAUUUUAUAUUAUUAAUUAUUACGCCUUUCCCCUUUGAGCUGACAACUUAAUUAAAGUCGACAACUUGGCGUGCCUACUGCCACCUUUAAAGAAUUUGCUGGUAUAUAACCUUUCCUGGUCCAGCCUCAACGUUUCCAGGAUGGCUUAACGCUUCACACGGACGUUUCCUAGUGGAACGAAUUUAUGCGAAGUUUUUAUUUAUGGCCCUUUCAGCUGUCACACCUUCACGCCUUAAAUUCCGCACUUCAAACCUGAGGGCAUUAUCAUUACUGCUGCUUAUUGUUGCGUAACAGCAUCAACUGGACUCAUUGUUCCAGCUCAAAUGUAUGCACGGCUGCUUUCUUUUGGCCCAGAGAACUCAAAUUGUUGAUUUUUAUAAUCCCUUUGCACUGUUCCAGUGUGGAAGGUGCUCAGCUAGUUUUUUUGUGGGCUUGAUGUUGACACUUACGCCACCAAGUUUGUUGUCCAUUGUAUAUCUCAUGGCUAGCCUAUAGGAAAGGAACAGGAGUUUGGGUUCGUUCACAGUAGGAUCACUAUCUUGCUUUCGUUUUUAUUGCUGCAUGCUACCAACCCUUUUCUUUUCAGUUUCUGAUAGAAGUGCUGUCCGCCCGCCUAUGUCCUAGUGUUAAAACAUGGUCUGUCGUAUGAUAACUUAGAAUUCUGUUUCACUGUUCUUCUGUGAUGCUCAGGCUAUCCGCAGUGGUUUCCCCUAAAUUUAUCCCCCUAUAUCAUACUUUUCUUCCACAUCAGCAUUCUCUCUCCCCCUAUUUCACCAACUCCCGCACCAGUUUCCUCUAUAUCAACCUCCUAAACCCCACCACAAUCAUAUAAUACUAUUUUUACUUCAACUACCAUAACUACCAUCCUUCUCUUCCGCAUCAAAAGGGUUUCCGUGUAGUCACCUGCAAUCCGAAGGUGCGGCCUUAUAAUUACUGUACAAAAUAAGUAGUCACCUAUGCCAUUAUUUCGUCAUCAACUUGAGGGUAGGAAUCAGCAAAGGAAACCUUUGCACUACGAUCAACUCCAAAGACUACAUCCCUCUUCUGCAAUAUCCUGAAACCAUCCAUUGCCUCAGGUCGAGUAGAAAACUCAAGCAAGGCAUAGCCACGAUUCAUCCCAGGAUUGUUUGUAUCCUCAACCAGUAGUAAGUCCUCAAAACAUUCAACUCCAUAACUCUUCAAUUUAUCCUUCAACUGCAAAAGCCAAAACAAGUUAUUUCUUCAGCAAAGAAGCAAAUGAAAAUCAUGAAAACAAAUCCCAAGUGUCAUACAUGUUCUUUUGUCCAUGUUUUGCAGAUAUUGCCGACAAAGAGUGUAUCAUUGUCAUGACUUGGAGCAACACCACAUUGUUUACCCCGCACCUGGAGUAUUAAAUAAAAUAUGUAAGUCACAUGUGAAAAGGAUAAAACAGAAAC